AGAUUUGAGGCCUGAGCCAGCCAUCAUAACCAUCACAAGAUAUGCCAAAUUUGCUUGGGCUGCAACAAUCUCAGUUUCAUCAUCUCUUGGAUAAACAGCAUCCCGUUUCAUUGGAUAAACUACCGAUGCUGGUCGAGUUACGGAUCUCUUCUUCCCCCUGUCUUGAAAUCCUCUGAGGCCCUCUUUCCUAUCCCGAGCCUGGUGUACAUUUAACUAUUCUUCCGGAUGGAGCACUUGUGGAUGUCUGGCCGUACAUUUCCCGGGCACAAAGCACCUGAUUGCCAAAUGUCAUUGGGAGAAGAAUCGAGUGGAGUGGGGUUGAGAGGCUUCCGUCGAUUGGCCGGACACACGUGCGGGCACACACGAGGACAAACAGACAGCCAGCCAGCCAGCGCACCACGGGUGUUUGGACGGAGCCAAGCUGAGAGCGACAGCACCGUCCUGGAUCAACAGAUCGGAAUUUGCCGCCCGAACAUUGAACUUACUGGCCGUUCACUCGUACAGGUGAGCAGCCAAGUGCGAAACGGGGUACCUAACCUAAACACACUGGACACCCUUUUUUUUUCUUUUCUCCUCUUUUUUUCUUUUGUAACUUUCGUGUGUGGAUUGGAUUUUGGCCGAAAACUUCCAAAAGUCCCGUCCAACAUGUUUUGCCGCUCGAGUAAUGAAUCGGCCUUGUGCAUUGGCCGUCUCUUGGCCAGCUUUUUCCCCUUUGUGUGUGUCUACCUGAUACUGUUGAUGUUGUUCUGUCGUCACUACCUAUCGAAUUCGAGACCGUGUUGUGCGGGUCCGAUCCGUAA